GGGCGUGUGGUCUAGUGGUAUGAUUCUCGCUUUGGGAGACAGAUUUAUCUGGCAAAACUUGCGAGAGGCCCUGGGUUCAAUUCCCAGCUCGCCCC